rnacentral:rRNA from 1 species
AGUGAACGCUGGCGGUAGGCCUAACACAUGCAAGUCGAACGGCAGCACAGUAAGAGCUUGCUCUUACGGGUGGCGAGUGGCGGACGGGUGAGGAAUACAUCGGAAUCUACUUUUUCGUGGGGGAUAACGUAGGGAAACUUACGCUAAUACCGCAUACGACCUACGGGUGAAAGCAGGGGAUCUUCGGACCUUGCGCGAUUGAAUGAGCCGAUGUCGGAUUAGCUAGUUGGCGGGGUAAAGGCCCACCAAGGCGACGAUCCGUAGCUGGUCUGAGAGGAUGAUCAGCCACACUGGAACUGAGACACGGUCCAGACUCCUACGGGAGGCAGCAGUGGGGAAUAUUGGACACAGGGCGCAAGCCUGAUCCAGCCAUACCGCGUGGGUGAAGAAGGCCUUCGGGUUGUAAAGCCCUUUUGUUGGGAAAGAAAAGCAGCAGGUUAAUACCCCGCUGUUCUGACGGUACCCAAAGAAUAAGCACCGGCCAACUUCGUG